rnacentral:rRNA from 1 species
CCUACGGGGGGCAGCAGUGGGGAAUAUUGGACAAUGGGGGGAACCCUGAUCCAGCCAUGCCGCGUGUGUGAAGAAGGCCCUCGGGUUGUAAAGCACUUUCAGUGAGGAAGAACGCCUGGUGGUUAAUACCCAUCAGGAAAGACAUCACUCACAGAAGAAGCACCGGCUAACUCCGUGCCAGCAGCCGCGGUAAUACGGAGGGUGCGAGCGUUAAUCGGAAUUACUGGGCGUAAAGCGCGCGUAGGUGGCUUGAUAAGCCGGUUGUGAAAGCCCCGGGCUCAACCUGGGAACGGCAUCCGGAACUGUCAAGCUAGAGUGCAAGAGAGGAAGGUAGAAUUCCCGGUGUAGCGGUGAAAUGCGUAGAGAUCGGGAGGAAUACCAGUGGCGAAGGCGGCCUUCUGGACUGACACUGACACUGAGGUGCGAAAGCGUGGGUAGCAAACAGGAUUAGAUACCCUGGUAGUC